ACUUGUCAAUAUCAGUGUGAUGUUAUAUGAUUGCAGACACAUAGUAACAAUUUCAUUAUGGAUAUGUAGGCUAACAGGAACUUUGCAUCAAAAGGAAGAUAUGCAGAAUUUUAUGAUGACCCUGUGAAAUGUUUCAUCAGGUCAGAUGGCAAUGGUGUUGAAGCUGUUCAGACUUCCAAGAAUACAUUAUACAACAAGAAGGCAGUUAUAGUUGCUGCUAGUUGUUGGACUGGUUCUUUGAUGCAAGAUUUGUUUAGAAAUUGGGGAAUGGAGUUUCAUGUUCCUGUAAGGCCCAGAAAGGGUCACCUACUCGCACUUCAGAACUUCAAUUCUCUUCAAUUGAACCAUGGCUUGAUGGAGGCAGGUUAUGUUGACCAUCCAUCUAUUUCUGGUUUGGAAUCAUCCGACAAUGAAUAGAACUUAUCAGUUUCAAUGACAGCAACAAUAGAUGCAGCAGGAAAUCUUCUUAUCGGUAAGCUUCUCUCUUAUGACUAUUAUAUAUACCAUAAAUUUGGAAGCUUAUAUUCCAAAAUUUAAGAGAGGCGAUUAUGUAUGUUGUUAUAGGUUUUGACUAUUUUUUGCGUUAUUAUUAUGUUUUCUUUUAAAAGAAAAUAUGU